rnacentral:rRNA from 1 species
UACGGAGGGGGCGAGCGUUAUUCGGAAUUAUUGGGCGUAAAGGGCGCGUAGGCGGUCCGGUACGUCAAAGGUGAAAUCCCUCGGCUCAACUGAGGAACUGCCUUUGAAACUGUCGGGCUUGAGGCCGGGAGAGGGUAGUGGAAUUCCCAGUGUAGCGGUGAAAUGCGUAGAUAUUGGGAGGAACACCAGUGGCGAAGGCGGCUACCUGGACCGGUUCUGACGCUGAGGCGCGAAAGCGUGGGUAGCAAACAGG